AUAAUGGCCCUUGUCAAGAUAAGAAAUGUGGACAUUUGAUAUGAAAGUACUUUCAAGCUUCACCUAUGUAGAGGACAAGGCACAUGUCCAGUUGUUUUUUGCUUCAGUAGCAUGUGACACAUGCUUUUAAACUGAUCGGUAUGCGCAUGGGUGAUCUACACACAAAAGCAUUUCUUCUCUUGAUUAAUGUGCAUGAAUUUGGUACUCCCUCCGUAAAGAAAUAUAAGAGCGUUUAGAUCACUACUCUAGUAGUGAGUUUAGAUCACUACUCUAGUAGUGAUCUAAACACUCUUAUAUUUCUUUACAGAGGGAGUAAUAUGUAUCGGUUGUUCCAAUUAUUCAUAAUGCUUGCAUGAGCUGCCAUGUUGUACUUCUGAAUAUAGGUCUUACCAAGGCGUAGUUAAUGCUUGCAGUUCAUUGCGGUUAUUGUAGCUAUGGGUAAUUUGAACAAGUUGUAAGAGGAUAUCAUUCAUACAUUUAAUUGAUAAGAUGAAAUUCAGCAGUAAUAUGCCAAUAUAGGAUGGUCAAAUUCAAGUUUUGUUAUCACAUGUUUUGAAUAUUAGUCUAAUAUAAUUUGUUAUGCGUGUCCAUGUUUAGGUCCAUUACUACAUUCAUGGCUGAUAGCAAAGUGCACACACUUAUCAUAUGUGAUAUCCAUGCCAAACCAUAGGUGCCAAGCAAGUACUCCCUCCGUUCCGAAUUACUUGUUGCAGGUAUGGAUGUAUCUAGAUGUAUUUUAGUUCUAGAUACAUCUAUUUCUGCGACGAGUAAUUUGGAACGGAGGGAGUAGUUGCCAAAGUAAACAACUGAGUGAUAUAUUGCCAUGUUCAGAGUUUAACCUGCAAGGUCCUGUAGUCACAGCGGGGGUCCAUUUUUCUAGAGAUCACUUGAGUAAUAUGCAUGGAUAAUUAGAGUUCAGUCAUGUUUCAACAUUUCUGCCACAUCUGCUCUCCCCUUUCUCAUAAUGUUAUCAGACAGAAGUGACACGGAUACCAAUGUCCACAUGUUUCAGGUCUAAGGAGGGUUUUGGAACUGGUUGCAUUAGUGGCUUGAGACUUGAGACUUUAAAAGGGACAACUGUUAGUUAACUUGAUGUCAGGCUCACAGAAUUGUACUGUAUACACCAGGAGAGCUUAAUUGUAUCUUAUCACUUGAUAGAAUCCAGAAGGCCAUGCCUUGGUCACUAAACUCGAAUUUCAAGCAGUUUCCCACAUCUCAAUUGAUGUUUACUUUGAGCUAGACGAAAUGUGCUUUCG
rnacentral:lncRNA from 1 species